GAGUUUGAUCAUGGCUCAGGACGAACGCUGGCGGCGUGCUUAACACAUGCAAGUCGAGCGGUAAGGCCCUUUCGGGGGUACACGAGCGGCGAACGGGUGAGUAACACGUGGGUAACCUGCCCUCAGCUCUGGGAUAAGCCCGGGAAACUGGGUCUAAUACCGGAUAUGACUCCGCAUCGCAUGGUGUGGGGUGGAAAGCCUUGUGCGGCUGAGGAUGGGCCCGCGGCCUAUCAGCUUGUUGGUGGGGUAGUGGCCUACCAAGGCGACGACGGGUAGCCGGCCUGAGAGGGCGACCGGCCACACUGGGACUGAGACACGGCCCAGACUCCUACGGGAGGCAGCAGUGGGGAAUAUUGCGCAAUGGGCGAAAGCCUGACGCAGCGACGCCGCGUGAGGGAUGACGGCCUUCGGGUUGUAAACCUCUUUCAGCUCCGACGAAGCCUUCGGGUGACGGUAGGGGCAGAAGAAGCACCGGCCAACUACGUGCCAGCAGCCGCGGUAAUACGUAGGGUGCAAGCGUUGUCCGGAAUUAUUGGGCGUAAAGAGCUCGUAGGCGGUUUGUCGCGUCGACUGUGAAAACUCAGGGGCUCAACUCCGAGCUUGCAGUUGAUACGGGCAGACUAGAGUUCGGCAGGGGAGACUGGAAUUCCUGGUGUAGCGGUGAAAUGCGCAGAUAUCAGGAGGAACACCGGUGGCGAAGGCGGGUCUCUGGGCCGAUACUGACGCUGAGGAGCGAAAGCGUGGGGAGCGAACAGGAUUAGAUACCCUGGUAGUCCACGCCGUAAACGUUGGGCGCUAGGUGUGG
rnacentral:rRNA from 1 species